rnacentral:lncRNA from 1 species
CGUGCUCCGGGCAGCCCUCGGCUGGCCGUGAUUAACGCUCAUUAGCUGUUGUCCCUGGGCUCGAUACCGCCCGCCCCCACCGCCCGUGCCGCUUGUCGCCGGACUGACCCGAGAGCUCGAGUCCUGGGUCGCCCAGGGACACGGGAUGGAAAAUGUCAAAUCCACUCGCGGAGUUGUUUGUGCAGGGCUGGAGUGCCGUGCCUGAUGCUUCGGGAGCCCAAGGUGUGAGAGGAGUGUCAAAAGCACGAGCGGAACCUCCUGCAUGAGGGAAAAGAGUGCAGGCAAUAUCAGCACUAACACCGCGGCAGCCGAAGUACCGAGGGAAACCUCGGAAUCACCACACCAUUUGCAGCUAACAAUUUCACCUGUAUAAACACGGUAUCCUAAACACAGACCUUCAUCACAGUAAAAUCACAGAAAGAUACCUCACACCAACAGACUGAAGAAAAACAACAGGUGGAUGCAGAAGAAACCCACUCAGAGCAAUGCUUCAGCUACUGUGUGAGUUACAGUAACCAUCAGAACAUGAGACCAUCUGAGCCAAAAUUCCUGCUGUUUUUAGUCCUUACAAGUCUCAUUUGAGAUGAAUGAUUGGUAUUCUCCAACCAAAGGGACAGUCAAGGUAACAAGUCACAAGGAAGCUGGAAUUCCCAACCAAUCUGAAUACUUAGACCUAAUUAAGAUGUCAUUAUCAACCAUCUGUUCCUGGUCCUGCUCUCCAUUUCUUCCAUCAAAGAAAUAAUUCCAGGCAUGAAACACCUCAUUGGAGCAACAAUCACCUGAAACUGCUGGAGUGCUGCAAUAUGAGGGUGGGCCCAGAUUGCAGGGGAAAUAGCAAUUGAAGAAACUUUUUCAGGUAAUUUGGUGUCACUUUAUGCAGCAGCUGAGGAGAAUUCCUACUGGGCCUUUCUCCCCAUUCCUUGUCUCUACAAGCAGCACCCUUU